GGAUGGGUGGCUGAGCGGUUUAAGGCUCCGGUCUUGAAAACCGGCGUCUCCUAACGGGGACCGUGAGUUCGAAUCUCACCCCAUCCGCCA
rnacentral:tRNA from 1 species